AGAACGAACGCUGGCGGCGUGCCUAACACAUGCAAGUCGAACGGAAUUUGAGAGCUUGCUCUUAAAUUUAGUGGCGCACGGGUGAGUAACGCGUAGAUAAUCUGCCUGAUGAUCUGGGAUAACACUUCGAAAGAGGUGCUAAUACCGGAUAAGCCCACGGAGUCUUUGGACUCUGCGGGAAAAGGGGGGACCUUCGGGCCUUCUGUCAUCAGAUGAGUCUGCGUACCAUUAGCUAGUUGGUAGGGUAAUGGCCUACCAAGGCUACGAUGGUUAGCUGGUCUGAGAGGAUGAUCAGCCACACUGGAACUGAGACACGGUCCAGACUCCUACGGGAGCAGCAGUGGGGAAUUUGCGCAAGUGGGCGAAAGCCUGACGCAGCAACCGCCGCGUGAGUGAUAGAAGGCUUUCGGGUCGUAAAGCUCUGUCGAGGGAAAGAAGUGUAGUUGUAGCUAAUACUACCACGUAUACGUUGAACCGGUAACCCUAAAGGAACGUACACCGGCUAAACCG
rnacentral:rRNA from 1 species